rnacentral:rRNA from 1 species
CAGCCGCCGCGGGAAUACGAAGGGGGCUAGCGUUGCUCGGAAUUACUGGGCGUAAAGGGCGCGUAGGCGGACAGUUAAGUCGGGGGUGAAAGCCCGGGGCUCAACCUCGGAAUUGCCUUCGAAACUGGCUGUCUUGAGUACGGGAGAGGUGAGUGGAACUCCGAGUGUAGAGGUGAGAUUCGUAGAUAUUCGGAAGAACACCAGUGGCGAAGGCGACUCACUGGCCCGUUACUGACGCUGAGGCGCGAAAGCGUGGGGAGCAAACAGGAUUAGAUACCCCCGUAGUCCCUGUCUCUUAUAA